CUCAUCUCCACAUCCCUGAGCGCUCUGUCUCUGGCUUUGUUCAUGCUGGCCUGGAGACACCACUGCGCCUUUCCAUCUGUGACUGCUCCCGCUCACUCCUGCAGCCCUGCUGAGCACUUCCACUUCUCUUGUGCAUCCUCUUGACAGAAAGGGCUUUUCCCUGGCAUUGCAGAAGCAGAGGCUGAAAUACCUCUGUUGGCAUUGGUACUUCUGCCCUGGCUUUGCUGCAGCUUUACCAGACUGCUUCCCAUGGAUGAUGUUGAACGUAAAAAGAUGGAUGAAGAGCUGUCUCAUGAACCCAGUUAUACUGACAUAAGGAUGUGUUGGAAGAUUCUGCACAA
rnacentral:lncRNA from 1 species